UUUGCCCUCGAAUAACCUAACCGGGAAGCUGAUAAAGCUCAUCGCCGUUGGGUCCAGACAGGGGCAUAUAGCAAGUAGAGAAACUGAGUUCUAACUUAU